rnacentral:ncRNA from 1 species
GACAUGUCUCUUGGUUUUAUGAUCGCAACUGACAUCUUAAAAUACUCUAAUAGCGACAUCAUUAUAUGGCAAGCAUGUUACUUGGUGCAUGGUCAUUCUUAGUUGGUGGAGCAAUUUGCCUGGUUAAUUCCGUUAGAAUGAGACCUCAACAUCCCUUCACAACCAUCUUCAUAGAGGAACUAUGGCCUUUUAGGCAAUAACAUGUCUGUGAUGCCCUUAUAUAGAUGUUCUGGUCUGCACAGGGGCUACAUUGAUGUAUUGAAUGAGUAUAUAGCCUUGGCUGACCGACGCAGGUAAUCUUUGAAAUUUCAUCUUGAUGGGGAUAUAUCAUUGCAAUUGUUGGUCUUCAACGAGGAAUUCCUAAUAAGCGCGAGUCAUUAUCUCAUAUUGACUAC